GCCUUCAUGGUGUAACAGUAGCACACUCGUCGCGUAUUCGAGAGGUCCAGGUUCGAGUCCCGGCGAGGACA
rnacentral:tRNA from 1 species